UUUUAUUUUUUUUUUAAAAAAACCCUAAUGCUCUCUAAUCUCUUACUCUCCCCUUGCUUCCCAGCCAAAAGGCUAGUGCCCAGGCCCUCCAUUCGAGAACAGCGAAGGCCCUCCGACGGUGACUCCGGUCGUGGAGACGUGGAUGUGGGCGAGCAAUGAGCGAGCUGGGGGUCGUGCUUGGUGUGCCAACGUGCGUGGUGUGCUAACGUGCGUGGUGGACGGGCGUUGAACGUGGGUGCUGCGACGCAAGGGAACCCUAGGGUUUCCGAAACCCUUAAAACUUUGGGCCUAUCGGGCCUUUGUAUUUUUAGGGUAUUGGGAAAUUAUUUAAUGUAAUUGGGCUGGCUAUUAUUUGUAAAUGGACUUAUUUAAUAUUUAUAUUUUUGGUUUUUUGUA